GGCAGUUUUGCAUAAUAUUUGGAAUAAUUACAUAUGUACGAUAAUUUUACCAGAAGUACAAUAAUUUCAACCUGUGUAGUACGAUAAUAUGGCCAAAACAAUCUGGCAACGCUGGUGUGUGUAUGUAUGUGUGUGUGUGUGUGUGUGUGUGUGUGUGUGUCAGUCGGUGUGUGGACGCGGGCGUUGGUGGGUGUGGGAGCGCGCCUCGUUAGCGGUAAGGUGGCUCAGGUCGGCCAGUAUCUCGUCCAGCCGCACACUGCUAAAAAGUACAAGUUUACCUGUGUUACCUGACGCUAGGUGAUACAGGUGUGUCUGCUGUGUUGUGCUGUGCUCGAGUCUGUAAGAUGCAGUGGGCGGCUGCUACACUGCUGUGGGCGUGUGUGAGCGGGUUGGCAGCGUUAACAUCAUCCCAACACACCCGCCCACUCUCACGCCCACACCCAGACGCCCAAACGCAAGCUGUGGGCGUCACUGAGGACAGACACGCAGAUGGGAAUGUGAUUUUUGCUCAGAGAAGGACCGGCCUAGCCCCGCCCCCCGCGCCUCCAGUCCCUGAUAAUGAAUUACGGCGACAAUUACAACAACAACUACUACCACAGCUGAGGGAACUACCCCGAGAGACGCCCCCAGCCGCGCCCCACCCGGAUAUCAGUCUUAUCCCUCUGCAGGAGGAAUCGGAGGAAACAUUGCUACUACGGGAGAGAUUUCCUCCAUAUACUGACAAUUUCCCUCCCUUUCCUCAUUCGGGACGUGGCUUUUCCUCUCCUCCUCCUUCUUCUUCUCCUCCUCCUCCUCCUCCUCCUCCUCCUCCUCCUCCUCCUCCUCCUUCUAAUACACUCCCUAAUCUCCAGCCUCCAUCUUUUCCUCCUGUCCCCUCCGCCGGUUCCUCCUCCCCCCCUCCUCGCCUCCCCCAGCCUCCCCUCCCCCGGUGUUCAGUCCCAGCAGACCAGUAAGAGGUACCCCAGUAUCCCCUAUACAAGUGGUCCCUCCUCCUUCUCUUCCUCCUUCUCCUCCUUCUCCUCCUCCUCCUCCUCCUCCUUCUCUUCCUCCUUUUCCUCCCCCCUCCUCAUUCUUCUCUCUCAUCCACAACUCUUUCUUUCCUCAAUUCCUUUCUUCCUGUUCCUCUCCUGACAGCAGAUCCAGACUCACAGUCCUUCCCACAGUCAACAGCACCCACAGCAAGUCCACACAGAGCUCCUAGCACCUUAACACAGCCUACAGGGGACCCAAACAGACCCACAGCCUCUCACAGACCACAUGACCACCCACAGCCCACAGCAAGAGCGAAUAGAUCUCCUAACAGCUUGACACAACCCAUAACAGCCCCUCACAGACCUUCUAAUACAUUGUCACAGCCCACAGCGAACCCAAACAGACCUCAUGACUUCCCACAGCCCACAGCAGCAGACCAGCACACGCCACACGCCCCACAGGUCUUCCUCACAUCUGGUAGACCACACAAACCACCUUUUCCUAGACCCCUUCCAGGACAGACCCAAAACAGACCACGGACGCCCCUGAAACACAGCGCAAAUAGGGACUUAACAUCACCCCCGCGUAGACCACAGCAGGAUGGUAGACCAGGCCAGCUCCACCACUCUCAGCCCUUCCAGCGUAGACCAGGACCCCAGACCAGCCCUAACAAGCCACAGAGACCAAGCAGAGGCCAGAGAGCUUCCUUCAGGAGACAAAGAGGACUCAGAACAACAGGAAGGCGGAGAAGAGAGUCUGUUGUGUUGUUGACAAGGGACCCAUCACACAACCCACAGGCACGCCCACGCCCACGCCCACGACACACGCCCAUAAGAACACGGAGGAGCCUCUCACAACUGAAGGAAGAGGAGGAGGAGGAGGAGGAGGAGGAGGAAGAGGGGGAAGAGGAAGACUUACAAAACAACCCUACAACAAUGACGAAGAAGAGGAGGAGGAGGAGGAGGAAGAGGAUGGAAAUUCACGAUAAAGAGGAAGAGGAAGACAAGAGAAAGAGGAGGAGGAGAGAAACUGAAGACGAUAAAGAGAACGAAGAAAAGAGAAAAAACAGAAGAGAAACUGAUAAAGAAGAGGAAGAAAAAGAGAAGAAGAAAGGAAGGAAGAAGAAAGGUGUGAUACAUUCAGUGAGAGGAAGAUUAGAGAAGAUGGAGGAGGAGAGUAAGAGGAGUGGGAGAGGAGGUGAGCAGGCGUCUGGAGAAGCUCAUGGGCGGGGGUGAGGCGAGGUGUGGGCGCCAUGGGAAGAGUGGCGGGAGAGGUAGCGGGGGCGGGCGUGGGUAGCGGCGGGGGAAGCUGGAUACAAUCUUCUACAGAAGGUUAAGGAGAACCAGUCCACGCCUCUGCCAAGCCCUCACACCCGCACCCUCGCCACAGGACUCCAGCUGACAGUGCCCCACGAGAGCCACGUCAACAAACACAGGGUGGGUGUUCGUCUGGAUAUCCUCCCCCACGCCCCCCGCCGCCUCAUCCCCCCUCUCGCUCUCUCCCUCGACUUCCGCACUCUCACCUCCCCCCUCUCAGUCGCCAAGCCAACCCCCGUGCCCUUCCUAGGACCCUACACCCACGACCACACCUACUACCACCGCCCACACUCGCCCAUCCACGCCCACGCUGAGGAAAGAAGAAAAGAAGA